rnacentral:lncRNA from 1 species
UCCUCUCUCUCUCUCUCAAUACUACAACCAUACCUCUCUUUGGUGAUAGUUCUCUUGCUUGAUUUCUAAUUCGAUGGUGCCGAUCUUCUGCAACGAUUAAGUGAAGGCUGUUUAUAUAGUAUUAAAAAAAUAAAGGUUGUUGCAAGUAAAGGUAGUUAUAGAUCGCUACGUGGGAGUCGACAAAUUCAAACAAGGGAAAGAAUAUAGUCUUGACAUGAUAUUGAUAGAUGAUAUCAAUAAAUUAAAUUAAUGAUGUAUGUUUGUUGGUUAUUCUUUUAUAAUAUUUGUUUUGUUCAUCGGACAUGUUUGUUGUUAAUUUUUAUAUGUUACUUUGUAUACAAGAAAAUAUGGUGGAGAAGCGAGGGGCGUGUAGGUGCCUCUCAAAUCGCUCCGUUCUAAUUUUCUGGAAUUUUUGGAUGAAAAAUAUUAAAA